rnacentral:rRNA from 1 species
CGAGGGGCAGCAUGAACUUAGCUUGCUAAGUUUGAUGGCGACCGGCGCACGGGUGAGUAACACGUAUCCAACCUGCCGAUGACUCGGGGAUAGCCUUUCGAAAGAAAGAUUAAUACCCGAUGGCAUAGUUCUUCCGCAUGGUAGAACUAUUAAAGAAUUUCGGUCAUCGAUGGGGAUGCGUUCCAUUAGGUUGUUGGCGGGGUAACGGCCCACCAAGCCUUCGAUGGAUAGGGGUUCUGAGAGGAAGGUCCCCCACAUUGGAACUGAGACACGGUCCAAACUCCUACGGGAGGCAGCAGUGAGGAAUAUUGGUCAAUGGACGAGAGUCUGAACCAGCCAAGUAGCGUGAAGGAUGACUGCCCUAUGGGUUGUAAACUUCUUUUAUACGGGAAUAAAGUGAGGCACGUGUGCCUUUUUGUAUGUACCAUACGAAUAAGGAUCGGCUAACUCCGUGCCAGCAGCCGCGGUAAUACGGAGGAUCCGAGCGUUAUCCGGAUUUAUUGGGUUUAAAGGGAGCGUAGGCGGACUAUUAAGUCAGCUGUGAAAGUUUGCGGCUCAACCGUAAAAUUGCAGUUGAUACUGGUCGUCUUGAGUGCAGUAGAGGUAGGCGGAAUUCGUGGUGUAGCGGUGAAAUGCUUAGAUAUCACGAAGACUCCGAUUGCGAAGGCAGCUUACUGGACUG